rnacentral:rRNA from 1 species
GCGGCAGCGACAACAUUGACCCUUCGGGUGAUUUGUUGGGCGGCGAGCGGCGGACGGGUGAGUAAUGGCUGGGAACCUGCCCUGACGUGGGGGAUAACAGUUGGAAACGACUGCUAAUACCGCAUGAUGUCUUUGGACCAAAGAGGAGGACCUUCGGGCUUCUCGCGUCGGGAUGGGCCCAGUUGGGAUUAGCUAGUUGGUGAGGUAAUGGCUCACCAAGGCGACGAUCCCUAGCUGGUUUGAGAGGAUGAUCAGCCACACUGGAACUGAGACACGGUCCAGACUCCUACGGGAGGCAGCAGUGGGGAAUAUUGCACAAUGGGCGCAAGCCUGAUGC